rnacentral:tRNA from 1 species
GGCGCGGUACCCAAGCGGUCCAAGGGAAUGGUCUGCAAAACCAUCAUUCGCCGGUUCGAAUCCGGCCCGCGCCUCCA